CACACACACUGUCUCUCUCACAAACACACACACACACACACACACACACACACACACACAGUCUCUCUCACAAACAUACACACACAAAACCGGAAGUGUAGUUUAAUAGUAAAGCUUUGUUGCCAGAUCACUACAGAAACAUCCCCUCAGCCAAUCACACGUCUGUUCUUCGUUCGUGAAAUGAAUAUUCAUGAGUUAAACCCGGACCCUCCUGCGACGUGUAACGUCCCGAACAGCGACUAAAAAAGACGUUUAGAGAUUAAAAACUGCGACAUUAAAGAAGCGCCGAGAGGAAAAACACGGUGCGGAGUGACGCGAGUGCGCAUGCGCAGUGCUGUGCUUUCUUUACACAACAAGCAGAAAAGAUUCAUGAUUAACGCCGUGUGUCUGUGGGGCUCCUGGAAGCCAAUAAAAGCUCCUGGAAAUCAUCAAGACCUGCUGUGGAACCUCCUCAAACUGCUGAGCUGCUCGUAAUGGACUGUUUAAUUAAUGUCGUGUUUCUGAGCAGAGCCACAUCACCAAACAUCCCGGAAACGACCUGCGCAGGGGCAAGGGAGCGUCUCUAAAGUGCAACACAAGGUCUGAAACGUAGCGACAAGGGAGUGUCUCUAAAGUGCAGCACAAGGUCUGAAACGUAGCGGCAAGGGAGCGUCUCUAAAGUGCAACACAAGGUCUGAGACGUAGCGACAAGGGAGUGUCUCUAAAGUGCAACACAAGGUCUGAAACGUAGCGGCAAGGGAGCGUCUCUAAAGUGCAACACAAGGUCUGAGACGUAGCGGCAAGGGAGCGUCUCUAAAGUGCAACACAAGGUCUGAAACGUAGCGACAAGGGAGCGUCAGCAAAGUGCAACACAAGGUCUGAGAUGUAGCGGCAAGGGAGCGUCUCUAAAGUGCAACACAAGGUCUGUAGCGGCAAGGGAGCGUCUGUAAAGUGCUACACAAGGUCUGAAACGUAGCGGCAAGGGAGCGUCUCUAAAGUGCAACACAAGGUCUGAAACGUAGCGGCAAGGGAGCGUCUCUAAAGUGCAACACAAGGUCUGAAACGUAGCGGCAAGGGAGCGUCUCUAAAGUGCAACACAAGGUCUGAAACGUAGCGGCAAGGGAGCAUCUGUAAAGUGCAACACAAGGUCUGAAACAUAGGGGCAAGGGAGCGUCUGUAAAGUUCAACACACGGUCUAUAGAGACGCGGCAAGGGAGCGUCUGUAAAGUGUUACACAAGGUCUGAAACGUAGCGACAAGGGAGUGUCUGUAAAGUGCAACACAAGGUCUGAAACGUAGUGACAAGGGGGCGUCUACAAAUUACAACCUCAAACCUGAAACGAAGCGGCAAGGAAGGACUGCAACAAGGAAAAAAAUAGCAAGGAAGCAUCUAUAGGUUUCAACCAAUAGUGAUUGUUCACCAUGUACAUCUGUAUACAUGAAAUCAAGAAUCAGGGGCAUGUACACAAAAUACAUGUGUGAUCUGAAAGGAAAUGGAAAACUAAAAAGUGUUAAAGUGCCACCGCACAUCUGAGUAAGGAGCAACAGCACAGCAGAUGUAGUGGAAAGUACAACUUUAAAACAACUGGAAACAAACUGGAAACAAAUCAAAUCAAAUUUUAUUUGUCACAUACACAUACAUACGGAAACUAAGUGGACAAAAUAGUACCAGAAAAGUGUGUCCCUGAAACAAACAAAAAGUUUCUGAAACAAAUAUUUUUCAAGUCUCGUUUCAGAAGCUUUUCAUUACUGAGUUACUUAUUUUUAAGGAACAUGUCAUUUCACUGACGCUGCAACCACAAAGGAACCACAGGGGUUUUUUUUCCGGAGAAACCCGUCAGUAAACACGCAACAUUGGUUCUGCAAAACAGAGUCUGUCUGUCUUUUUCUGUGAAAAGAUAUUUGCACCAUUGGUGAAUUAGAUUGGGGACUGCAUCAAUCCUGCGUGUGUCUCAUCAUGAACCACGGCAGAAUGAGAGGACCGGACUGCACAGCGAAUGUGAUCAUCCAGCACUGUAAGAAGCUUGGACACAGCCUGCUCCUGCUCGCCCACUACAUCGCCGUGUUCAUGAGCUUCACGUCUCGCUCCGUCGGCUGGUUCGUGGAGGCGAUCAGAUGGACCGCGAUCUCUGUUCAGUGCGUAACGUCUGUGUUCAACACCGUACACAGGAACCUGAGCAGGCUGAAUCGGAGGUGCACCAGGACAGUGAUGGAGUCCGGCUCGGAAUAAUGACAGCUGUCAAAUUUACACAAAGACAUUUCACGUGCAUUUAAUCUGAAUUCUGUGUUCUGCAAAAAGAAGGAAUUUUAAACCAACAAACUUUUAUUUUAGCUGUUUUUGGACUCAUUUCCUUUUAUGUGCUUGACUGUUCUCAUCAGUUCCAACAUGAAGCCUGAGAUCCAUAACAGCGUUCAGUGACCCACUAACACACUGUAGUCUUCGGUGAAGGAGGAAAAGCCUGGAGGGUCAAGUUUGGGUCCUUUAUUUUAGAAAAUGACAUAUUAUUAUUAUUAUUAUUAUUAUUAUUAUUAUUAUUAUUAUUAUUAUUAUUAGUCUGAUUGUAUUUUAAUCUAAUACAAGAUGACAAACCUUUUCUCUUUUAUUUUAGAGUGUAAACAAUGUGAGUGUAAACAAAAUUGUUGUACACGAUGACAACAGAAUGUGAAAAAACAGUAAGUGUCACAUUAACCACUUAAAUAUCUGUAUUUAAGGACAUAAGGAUCAUUUGACGUGACCAAUUUCACAUCAUAGCGGCUCUGUAUAUGACGAUGUAUUAGAGAAAUCCUGUAGAUCCUAUGGAUUACUUGUGGAUCGUCUCAAAUCAUAUUAAAAGUUCAUUUUACUCACAGGAUAAAGUGCAGAGUGAGGAGAAUUAAUGCUUAAAGUGUUAUAAGGCAUUAUAAUGGAUUAUAAAGACGUACACCAUGAAUCAGUAUUACAUUUUGAAUGAAUCCUAAUAGAUUUUUUUUUUAAACCAGCAUGAGGACAAUCUGAACUUUAUAACCACUGACACACGUCUAAUGACCACUGACACACGUCUAAUGACCACUGACACAUGUCUAAUGACCACUGACACACGUCUAAUGACCACUGACACAUGUCUAAUGACGGAUUACUGACUUUAAUUUCGUCCUUCACAUAAUUCCGUGUUCAUUACAGAAGGGAAGGGGUGACUGUAGCAGCGAGUGUUAAACUCUGAGAGAAGGAAGACUGAACAGAGGACUGUGGACUUUACUGUAGAGUUCAGUGACCGUACUUGUGUGGCUGCAUGCUGUGAUUAUAUCUAUAUGAUUUACAAUAGAAAUGCUUCGUUAUUACACUUACCUUAAAAUUAAAUGAUAAUUAUUUACACUUACUAUUUAUUCAUUUUAUUUAAACCUGUAUGAGUAAAGAUGAGAAAAUAUAUUUCCAUCUCUGUCUGUCAUAAAGACCAGACUUCACUGUAUAUGUCAGUGAUUUAAGCGAUCUGUUGUUCCUUCUUAUUUGGGUUGGAUUUCUUCUUUGGUUUUUAUUUCUGCUUCAGUUUUGUCUUCUUCUUUUUUUAAGUAAGAAACUGAUAGGUGGGAAAGGGGGCGUGUUCUGGGAGGGGGCGUGUUCUGGGAGGGGGCGUGGUCUGAAAGAUACAGGAGACACAUUCGUUUAUUGGUUUUUGUUUAAAAAUGGGUGAUCUCUACCACCGUGGCCACGCCCCCUUGUCCCGCCUAUCAAUCCAAAUAAGGAAGGACUAAAGAAAUAAAGUUGAAUUAAUCUCAAAAUAA